UUUCUUUUCAGUUAUUCUUCUUCUUCACUUCAUAGUACUUCUGCUAUUAAGCAUUCGUCUGUGCUAAUUGUGUGAUACAAUUAGUAACACAGAGAAACAAGUAAGUCAUAUUAAGGAGUUCAUCGUCUUAAUUGCGGUGAAUCAUUCAACUACUUUAGCAAUGACGGUUUGACAUGGAAGAUUCGCAGCUAUUACCGCAGAUACUACGGGUGAAAAGGCCCACCUAUUUUCAAUGAUUUAGCAACAGAACUAGCAGAUCAAGCAACGGGUCAUUUUGUGUGCAGAUGAACUCAGAAUACAAAAGAGAGGACCUCGAGGAGAAAAGGUGUUUUUACUGUCAAACAAGACGGUGAGGACCUCGUUGUUAUUAAAAACCAUUUCGAUAGUUAGAUAUUCAAUAACGCCGACCAGCAGUUCCACUUACGUGGAGAACAAGAGACCUCGUCGGGUUUUUUUUUCCAUUGUCAUACGACGGAUUUCAUUCUGAAUGCUGAAGCUGCUUAACUUCUGUUCGGUUGGUAGGGUUAGUGAAACUCGUACGCAUUUUUGCCAUUAACUAUAAUUUAUAAGGAUAUAGUUAGCUCCCGUUUUCCAAUAUUGUAUUAAUGAUAAUAAUAGUAAUAUUUAUAUUACCAAAAACUACACAUUAAUCAAGAAAGUUGUGUAUCGAAGUUGUGAACUGUGGUGCUCAAGAUCAAGCUUUUUAAAUAAAGUUCACGAAUAUUCUGUUCCCCGAAGUAUUCAAAGCUUGUCCCGUAGCUGCUACAUGUACUACCCGGAUAUUUUCGGCAUUUAGAUCAAACUCCUGUGUCUCAAAGUCAGUUUUCUCUCAUAGUAAAUGGUACUUCCAUUAUUGAGUAAUAAAAUAAGUAGAAUUAGAAUUAUCUUGUUUGCUAGCUCUCUAACUUUUUAGCGUUAAUUCAAACGAAAUAGGCCCUCGCACAUAGCGUAGUCUACUUUUAAAAAUGUUAUUUUCCUUUGCUUCGAUAUGCGAAACAUAGUGGCUGUGGCAUGUGGUCUUCGUACGUCUAUUUAUAGGGUACUCAAUUUUUGCCUUCAUCACUUUGUGUACUUCUAUUAUAUAUCAUGUAUCUGUCCUCAACCCUAGUAUGGUAUGGUGCCUUUUUAUGUUUCCUAAUGUCGAUGGCUUUUCUUUUAUCUCUCGUAGAGUAGCUUGGCUCGCGUUUUGUCAUUGGACUAGGUCGAUAACAAUUAUAUUGCUAAACAAACCUUUUUGUUUCAUAUGUACUUGGCGUUCUGCUUAUUUAUUUUCUCGUAUUGUUGCAAACGAUUGAGCUCUCAAUCUUAAUAGUUAAACUAACAAAAUCUAACAAAAAAACUGAUGGAUGUUAAUGCCACAAUGGACGGUUGUACAUGUAACUACAGUUACACUAAUCUAGCAAUUGUCGGUCAAAAGGAGCAGGCUAAUAGUCGGACCGCUGGUUUUUUUUUACCAAGACCAAGCAUAUAAACAUAAAAAGAACGGUCUUCUCCAUGACAUUCGUUGCCCUUGUUACCUGUAGAAUAGCACAGUGACCCCUCAGGUCGACGUUCGAUAAUGGCGCUGUUUAAUAUUCUUUCCUUUUUAUUUGAUUUUUUUCAUAUCGGUUAUCAAAAUCGGAUAAAUCUUGGUUCCUUUGACAGUCAUUUGUACUGAGAUCUUCAAGUUAGAGGACCCAUUUUGUUAAGUUUUGUUAAAUUUUGGUUGAAGUUAUAUAUAUAUUUACCAACUAAUAAUAAAUGGCAUUCAGUGUUUCUAUGCUUGAUUGCAUGAGAGCUGAUGUAUUCGCGUAUUAUACCCUGCAAUACUCUAUCGAAAUCUGUACAAAUAUCUUUCUUACCGGGCGUACAGACUUUCGGUAUUCGUCCAUUUCCUUUAAAAGUAAAAGCGACCCCUUUAAUUAAAAUGUUCUCUGUUUCGCUCAUAAACAUAGACCGCGCAUAAACAUAGAUGUCAUACACUCUAAGCAACACAAUUAUAGAAUUGUUCCCUUUUCUGUUAUAUAUAUUAUUUCUAUUAUUAUUACUAUUAUUUCCGGUUCUUUUAUAGCUUCCUUCUCCCGUUCUAAAUUGGAUCUUAGCAACGGUCUAUUGACUGACAUGACGUUGUGCUUCAAUACUCUAUUUGUCUACGGUUGCCGUAGUCUAAACGACGUGCGUCGAUUAAAGCAGGCAAAAUCAUUGUUCACUGAUUGAAGUGAAAAGCAAAUUAUGUCAUACUUUGACCCGUAUUUAACAGUACAUCUACGUGAGCGUUUCAGCACUGGAUAUAAUGCACUACGAGCUUGCAUGCUAAGACCGAAUGGCAACUAUGAAAACACCCUGUUUUUGAACUUCGUCGGCCAAUCACAUUUAGGAACCGGACAAAAUUAAAUAAACUAAUUGGCUUUUUAUUCCUCCCAAAAGCAUGAAGUGCGACCAGUUUUUACAAAAAAGUAUAUCCACGUGCACACUGCACAUCGACUGUGGCCUAUGAAAACUGCAAGGGAACAUUACCCUGGCGUUAGAAAUCAUCUAGGACUAUUGUAAUAGAUGCCGUUAGGAUAAGAAAGGUGAAAAAGCGAUCGGCGAUUCGCUUGUAAUAGAGCUACAUUAUUCUACAAAAGACUGAGACAAAUUUUCUAACUGGGUCGUCUGGCUUCAAAGUGGAAGUCCGAACAGAAUUGCCGAGCAAAACGUUGACCCAAAUGAGUAUCGGCUGUAUGGAGUGGUCACAUCGGAGUAAAGGACUAAUAUAGCCUCCUUACAGGAUGCAGGAUAACGAGAAUGUGUCUUUUAGUUGUACUUACGUACUCAAUAGCUGACGACUAUCGCUUUUUUUUUUAACACCAAUAGCAUACAACAUGUGUGUUUAAAUAUUUCGUUCAUAUCUGGAGGUAUUUCUCCCUAUGCGGUAACAGUAGGGGCAAGCUGAUAACUGCGAUGUUAGUGCCCAUCGGAUGAAGCAUCAGCCUUCUCUUUAAUUUUACAACGUUCUUUUUUUUAGAUUGAAAUAAAACUUCGACAGUGGCCACUUGUUGGGUCACAUUAAAAAGUAAUAAUAAGUUUACAGUAGCCAUGGGCGGUGUGUAAAUGGGCGACGUUCUGUGAAAGGUCCAAGAAUUCAACAAGUAGCCUUUGUGGGGGCGGUGCAUAGAUUCAGUAAAUACCCUCUCGUAUCGAACGUAUAAGGCAGAGAUAGCAGAAUGUAAAAAACGACAGAGGGUACUACCAUUGCUGUAAUAGUCCCUUCAUAUGCUAACUAAAAUUAGAUCGACAUUUACAUAUCCAUUGAACAGCACAGAACGAAAUGUGGCCGAAUGGGUUGUUUCGCUUAUUCAUUUAUAUAUACAUGUAUAUAUAGGGAGAGAAAGAAAGAACCAGUGCAAAUAUUUACUCCUUACUGAAUUGACUAGGAGAACUGCUGUAUUUGGCUACAGUGUAAAGUAUAUAUUACACAUUAACUAAUUUUCGACUACAUACGGAAAAAGUAAAUUAGUUGGUCGCCUGCUUCACUUUUUGUCAAAAAUCUGUCUAAAGAGACUUUGUUACUCAGAAUCUGAUGCAUCCAAAGCCAAACUUGUGUUAUAAGUUUACCUGGAUCCUUUACUGCUGUCUUGCUGCGUUAGAAAGGCCGAGUAGCUACGGUGCUUGCGGUACUAUCUUAUAAGGAUCACAAUGAGACACAACAUGAAUUUAAGAAAAACUUUUUAUGCAGAAGCUGUUAAUGUCAAUGAGUUUUGCAAGUGGGUCAUAUACCAGAUACAAAAAUCACUGAG
rnacentral:lncRNA from 1 species